AUUGAACGCUGGCGGCAGGCCUAACACAUGCAAGUCGAACGAGUGGCGGACGGGUGAGUAAUGUCUGGGAAACUUCCUGAUGGAGGGGGAUAACUACUGGAAACGGUAGCUAAUAACGCAUACCAUCAGAUGUGCCCAGAUGGGAUUAGCUUGUUGGUGGGGUAACGGCUUACCAAGGCGACGAACCCUAUCUGGUCUGAGAGGAUGACCAGCCACACUGGAACUGAGACACGGUCCAGACUCAUACGGGAGGCAGCAGUGGGGAAUAUUGCACAAUGGGCGAAAGCCUGAUGCAGCCAUGCCGCGUGUAUGAAGAAGGCCUUCGGGUUGUAAAGUACUUUCAGCUGGGAGGCGUUACCCGCAGAAUAAGCACCGGCUAACUCCGUGCCAGCAGCCGCGGUAAUUC
rnacentral:rRNA from 1 species